rnacentral:lncRNA from 1 species
AUGUAUUUGGGGUCAGUUUUGGGGUGCCUGAUGGCAUUUUUGGGGUGUUUUGGUGUAUUUGGAGUCAAUUUUGGGGUGUUUCGAUGUAUUUGGGGUCAGUUUUGGGGUGACUCACAGCAUUUUUGGGGUAUUUUUGGGAUGUUUUGGGGUGUUUCGAUGUAUUUGGGGUCAGUUUUGGGAGGUUUUUGGGGUGUUUUGGGGUGUUUCAGUGCAUUUGGGGUCAGUUUUGGGGUGACUCACAGCGUUUUUGGGGUAUUUUUGGGAUGUUUUGGGGUGUUUCGAUGUAUUUGGGGUGUUUUUGGGGUGUUUUUGGGGUGUUUUGGGGUGUUUCAGUGUAUUUGGGGUCAGUUUUGGGGUGUUUUGGGGUGUUUCAGUGUAUUUGGGGUGAGUUUUGGGGUGACUCACAGCAUUUUUGGGGCGCAGGAUUCGGGGUUCCCCCCGGCCGGGCCGGUGCAGGACCCGCGACCCCGAAGGAUUUGGGCCAAACACCGAGACCUGUCCCUGCCUGUCCCCAAAUUCAAGCUGGACGAGUUCUACGUGGGCCAGGUGCCCCUGAAGGAAGAGCGGGGAUGGGAUUGGGAUUGGGGAUUGGGAUUGGGAUUGGGAUUUGGGAUUUGGGAUUUGGGAUCCAGGUUUGGGAUUUGGGAUUUGGGAUCCAGGUUUGGGAUUUGGGAUCCAGGUUUGGGAUUUGGGAUUUGGGAUCCAGGUUUGGGAUUUGGGGUUUGGGAUUUGAGAUUUGAGAUCCAGAUUUGGGAUCCAGGUUUGGGAUUUGGGAUUUGGGAUUUGAGAUUUGGGGUUUGGGAUUUGGGAUUUGAGAUCCAGGUUUGGAUCCAGGAUUGGGAUUUGGGAUUUGGGGCUGGAUUUGGGAUUUUGGCCCCAUUUCAGUGAUGGAAUUUUG